rnacentral:rRNA from 1 species
GGAGGGUGCAAGCGUUGUCCGGAUUUAKUGGGUUUAAAGGGYGCGUAGGCGGCUUAUUAAGUCAGUKGWGAAAUCCUUCAGCUCAACKGUAGAAUUGCCAUUGAUACUGAUAAGCUUGAAUUCAGGCGAGGUAGGCGGAAUUGACGGUGUAGCGGUGAAAUGCAUAGAUAUGGUCAAGAACACCGAUUGCGAAGGCAGCUUACUAGACUGACAUUGACGCUGAGGCACGAAAGCGUGGGGAUCAAACAGGAUUAGAUACCCUGGUAGUCCACGCUGUAAACUAUGAUCACUSGAUGUGUGCGAUAUACAGUACGCGUCCAAGCGAAAGCGUUAAGUGAUCCACCUGGGGAGURCGGCCGCMMGGUUG